AGCUUUGCACAGUGGCAGUAUCGUAGCCAAUGAGGUUAAUCCAAGGCGCGAUUAUUGCUAAUUAAAUACUGACGGAGGGCAGCCCCCUGGCUCUCGGUUUCGCGCCACCUUCAGCCCAGGGCGUGAUCCUGGAGACCCGGGAUCGAG